rnacentral:misc_RNA from 1 species
CAACCCUCGGUUCCGACCGGUUUUGAGCUGGCGUCUCGGUCCCCCUCGCGGGGUCCGCGCCGGCUUUAAAGUUGUAGCUCUGCUGGCUGCCCCGCCCGACAGGAACAUAGUAAAUUCUGCUUGUUCGAGUUGGAGGCGGAAGCGGUACGGCCUGAACAAAACCUACCCAUCUCAAG